UAAGAUCGCAAAUUUCGUCAAUUUCUUUUUCAUUCGAGGUUUGCUGCAUAAACUAAACAAAUUCUUGGCAAUAGUUUCAAGUUAGUGCACAGCACGAGCUCUAUUGUGUCAACUGUAUUGAGGAGACAAACAGCAUAAUAGUUUUACAAGACUCCUCACAAAACUGAUGUCUAAUUCUUAGCCAGGCAAUCUUCAUAGCGAGUUAUUGUAACAAGGUGGUAGUUAUGCUAGCUCUGAGAAUUUAAUACAUCGGAUCUUCAGCCAACUAUUUUGAAGUAAACAACCGAUAAUAAGUACCAUUUGAUUCCCGGCCAGUCUGACCUGCACGUUUCCAAGCUGGUGAUAAAUUAUAUAGUCGUUACUUUCUUUUCAAGAUCUCGAAUCAUGUGUACUUGUCUUCACUUUAGCAAGCCCCACAAGCUGCUGGCUGGAUGAUAUAAUUAAGCUUUUUUAGAUUUAGUAGAGUUUGCUUGGCUAUGUACACCAUUUGAUUUAAUAUUAGAUAUUGAAGUAUUUUUUA